rnacentral:tRNA from 1 species
GGGGAUGUGGCUCAGAGUUGGAGUACUCGUCUCGCAAGCGUGAGGCACUGGGUUCAAUCCUCAGCACCA